rnacentral:rRNA from 1 species
CCUACGGGUGGCAGCAGUGGGGGAUAUUGCACAAUGGGGGGAACCCUGAUGCAGCGACGCCGCGUGGGUGAAGAAGCGCCUCGGCGCGUAAAGCCCUGUCAGCAGGGAAGAAAAUGACGGUACCUGAAGAAGAAGCCCCGGCUAACUACGUGCCAGCAGCCGCGGUAAUACGUAGGGGGCAAGCGUUAUCCGGAAUUACUGGGUGUAAAGGGAGCGUAGACGGUUAAGUAAGUCUGGAGUGAAAGGCCGGGGCCCAACCCCGGGACUGCUCUGGAAACUAUUGAACUUGAGUGCAGGAGAGGUAAGCGGAAUUCCUAGUGUAGCGGUGAAAUGCGUAGAUAUUAGGAGGAACACCAGUGGCGAAGGCGGCUUACUGGACUGUAACUGACGUUGAGGCUCGAAAGCGUGGGGAGCAAACAGGAUUAGAUACCCGGGUAGUC